rnacentral:lncRNA from 1 species
UCCAGCUAUUUCGCCCAACCCAUAUUAGACUGUGUUAUAAAGACAUGGUAAAUUACAUCACGAAGGGAAGAGCAGAGGAAACAUAAUAUUCCUUCAAGACCCAUCAGCUCAGAUGUUAGCAGAACACUCCUAAGGAGGAAAACAAGAAAUUUUGGGUUUGAACUUGGUACUUCCCAGCAGCCCUGGGAGUGGGGUCAGAAGCCCUGCUGGUGGGGGCGAAGAACUCUGAGGAUCAAAGAUGUUGAUCAUCACCAGGAAGCUCACUGCAGCAAUAAUCAUGAUGCACUGAGCCUGACAAGGUGAGAAUUUACUUUCAGCACCUGCAAUAGUUUCCUAUUAAAGUUACAUAUGAAGCCCUGCCGUCUUGUGCCAACUAAUGUUCACACCAGCGUUCCUAUUUUCAAGAUAAAUUGCAAAAUAAAAACUUUUUUUUUUAGCAAAAGAAAACUUCUUUAGGAGGAUAAAAGGGAGAUGAAGAAACAGAAAACACAUCAGCUCUCCAUCUAAAUUACAGAAAGCAGAAAAUAUCCUGAAUUGAAUAACACAGGAAUCACUCUUUUUCCCCCCUGAGAUAAGAGGUUACUUAUGAGAAACAAGCUUGAAAUCUCUGCACCUGAACCAGCUUCCAGAGGCUUUUGUCCUAACCAGCUGGAUUUGGGGAAGUAAAGGAAACCAGGUAAGAAGGGGCUGAAAGAAUUGGUUUCCACCGUGACCUUUGAACCCUCGGGCGAGUUGUCAACCUCACUGAGGAUGAGUGUCCUCGAUAUCAAACGAGGUCACUUUACUCGCAAGCUUGUUGUGAGGACUGAAUGAAACCUUUUCUUUUUUCUUGGAGUUUCAGAGCAACGUCCCUGAGCCGAGCCCCACACCAGCUUGAGCCCUAUCGUCGGUCAAUACACGGUGCUUUCUCCCCUCCCCUCUGCACUCCAGCUUACUCUGCAGUCAGGAGGUGGCACCAGGAUCCCCUUUAAGACUUUGCCACUUGGGCCAGCUGUGCCUCUGUGAAAUUCCCUGUUUAUAUUGCAGGCCACAAGGACGAGCUGAGAAAUGGCUUCCAGUCACCAUCUAGAUUAGAAAGCCUAUAUUUCAAAUAUAGAGAUAUCAAUUAUACCUGUGAAAAGACAUUAAAUCCCACAGGGCUGUAAUUCCUAGACUACAAAUUUCAUCUUGCACCAAAUUUUAUUAUUUCAUUUAUAAUUCGAAUUCUGCAAAUCUAAGAGUGUCUGGCUCAAAAUUAUAAUACCUACAACUAUUCCAAAAGAUUCUUUAAUUGCUUUACUGGAACCAGUAGCUGAUUCAAAGCAAAACGAAACAAAAUUCCUCCUUUCUCUGAUUUAGCGAAUCAAUGAUCUAACUGAACUCAUUUUUGGACUGAGUUUGUGGCACUUGCAGCCCUGAGGGACACACUCCCCCACCACACUGAGCCUGCACUCCCAUCAACGCAAAUGAACAUUUUGCUUAUUCAGAUUGGGGGGGGUGGUGAAGGAAG